rnacentral:rRNA from 1 species
GACGAACGCUGGCGGCGUGCUUAACACAUGCAAGUCGAACGGGUCUGCCCUGUUUUUUGCGGGGUGGGUCAGUGGCGAACGGGUGAGUAACACGUGAGUAACCUGCCCCUCACUUCUGGAUAACCGCUUGAAAGGGUGGCUAUACGGGGUGUUCUGGCUGUGCCGCAUGGUGUGGCUGGGAAAGAUUCACUUUUGUGGUGUUUUGGUGGGGGAUGGGCUCGCGGCCUAUCAGCUUGUUGGUGGGGUGAUGGCCUGCCAAGGCUUUGACGGGUAGCCGGCCUGAGAGGGUGGGCGGUCACACUGGGACUGAGAUACGGCCCAGACUCCUGCGGGAGGCAGCAGUGGGGGGUAUUGCACAAUGGGCGGAAGCCUGAUGCAGCGACGUCGCGUGAGGGAUGGAGGCCUUCGGGUUGUGAACCUCUUUCGCCGGUGAAGAAGGUCCUGCUCUUUGUGGUGGGGUUGACGGUAGCCGGGUUAUGAAGCGCCGGCUAACUACGUG